rnacentral:misc_RNA from 1 species
GAAAUGCGAUACGUAAUGUGAAUUGCAGAAUUCCGUGAAUCAUCGAAUCUUUGAACGCACAUUGCGCCCCUUGGUAUUCCAGGGGGCAUGCCUGUUUGAGCGUCAUUUCCUUCUCAAACAUUCUGUUUGGUAGUGAGUGAUACUCUUUGGAGUUAACUUGAAAUUGCUGGCCCUUUCAUUGGAUGUUUUUUUUCCAAAGAGAGGUUUCUCUGCGUGCUUGAGGUAUAAUGCAAGUACGGUCGUUUUAGGUUUUACCAACUGCGGCUAAUCUUUUUUUAUACUGAGCGUAUUGGAACGUUAUCGAUAAGAAGAGAGCGUCUAGGCGAACAAUGUUCUUAAAGUUUGACCUCAAAUCAGGUAGGAGUACCCGCUGAACUUAAGC